CCUACGGGUGGCAGCAGUGGGGAAUAUUUGGCAAUGGGCGCAAGCCUGACCCAGCAACGCCGCGUGAAGGAAGAAGGCUUUCGGGUUGUAAACUUCUUUUCUGGGGGACGAACAAAUGACGGUACCCCAGGAAUAAGCCACGGCUAACUACGUGCCAGAAGCCGCGGUAUUACGUAGGUGGCAAGCGUUAUCCGGAUGUAUUGGGUGUAAAGGGCGUGUAGGCGGGAAUGCAAGUCAGAUGUGAAAACUCAGGGCUCAACCCUGAGCCUGCAUUUGCAACUGUGUUGCUUGAGUGCAGGAGAGGAAAGCGGAAUUCGGUGGGUGGCGGUAAAAUACGGAGAUAUACGGAGGAAAACCAGUGGCGAAGGCGGAUUGCGGUACAGUAAGUGACGCUGAGGAGCGAAAGCGUGGGGAGCAAAAAGGAUUAGAUACCCGAGUAGU
rnacentral:rRNA from 1 species